rnacentral:rRNA from 1 species
UACGUAGGGUGCAAGCGUUGUCCGGAAUUAUUGGGCGUAAAGAGCUCGUAGGCGGCUUGUCGCGUCGGCUGUGAAAACCUGGGGCUCAACCCCGGGCCUGCAGCCGAUACGGGCAAGCUAGAAUUCGGUAGGGGAGACUGGAAUUCCUGGUGUAGCGGUGAAAUGCGCAGAUAUCAGGAGGAACACCGGUGGUGUAGACGCUUUCUGGACCGUAACUGACGCUGAGACACGAAAGCGUGGGUAGCAAACAGG